AAUUUCUCUGAAAACAACUCUACUGUACUCUCUGCAGACUCAGGGUCUUGGUAAUUCAGCAACUAGACAACGAAGAAUGGAGACACACUGGGAAACUCUGCUGGGGCUCCUGUGGCUCCAGGUUUGCUUGGCGAGAGGGAUGACGGUGGAGCAGAGCCCUUCAGACCUGAGCCUCCAGGAGGGAGACAGCUCUACCCUGAAGUGCAAUUUUUCUAGCACUCCAGACAGUGUGCAGUGGUUCCGACAGCAUCCCGGGGGCGGCGGUCUCACCCGGCUGUUUUACAUAGCUUCAGGGAUGAAGCAGAGUGGAAGAUUAAACUGCACAGUGAAUACUAAGGAACAGUCUAGCACCCUCCACAUCAGGGCCUCCCAACUGGAAGACUCAGCCACCUAUCUGUGUGCGGGGGAGGCACAGUGCUCCCCGGUGAUCUGCAGCCUGCACCCAAACUGCAGCUGUGCCUGCAGCCCUGGCCUCUCCCUGGGGCAGGCAUUUGCUCCCACAGCAGCCUUUGCAUAUUUUUAGAUUUAUGUUACAGCACAUUUUUCUUCCCCAAAUUAGACCCAUUGGGGCUGUCAUUUCAUUUGGUUUUGUUCCUCCUUUUCUUCCCAGAAAGCCUUUUGCUGGUAAGGAGCUCUACCAUGGAACCAUUGGAAUAAGUGAUACAGGUGUCCAUAUCCAAUACCCUCGGAAAACAGAUAUCUUGGCAGCUAGCAUGCAAAUUAUAUGUAAAUUACUCUGAUGGAAAAGGCUGAAAAAGUAGACUUUGUCAACAAAUACAGAUUACUAAAUUUUUUAGUUACCUGUUGAUGUUUCCAUUUUCAAAGGAUAGUAAAGAAAACAUGUGCAGGGUUCUUUCAAGUCUGUAUUCAGAUUUUCUCUCCUGGAAAUGCAAAUAUAAUAAAAUGAUUUUA